AAUCUUUGAGUGACUAGUGCUGCACACUUUUAAUAGCCAUUAGAUUGUAUUAAUUUUGAUCUAAAGGCUGAUAUUACACACUUCAUAUAUCAUUUCUAUAUAAUAUUAUAUUUGAUAAAUAAAGGGGUAUUUGACUUGAAAAUGAGGAGUAAAACCGGCUGUAACCAGUUGCCAAAAUCUUGAUUUUCGCGCCUAUUCUCAAAUCUGAAGAAACAUUUUCAGCUUAGUUUUAGGUAAAAAAACUCCUUCAUUGUUUGAUUGUUUGAAGGUUCCAAACAGGCCAUAAAUCAAUUUUCAGUUCUCUUAUUAGUUGUUUUUAGGGUUCUUAAACUCCUUUGUUACAUCACAGAGGGUAUCGCCACCGGAGCUCGCGAAGAAGAUGUUGCCUUGUCCUAUGUAGAAUUCUGGGAAUCGUUUCUUACUUGUACAAAAGAAGGAAACCGCAUUGAGAGAAUUGAAUCAUCAUUGAAAGGAAAAUCUUGUCCAAAUAAUGGAGGAGAGAGUUAUAAAUGCUGGGGUUUCCGCCAUGAAAUAAGAUUACGAGCUCGCGAAGAAGAUUUCACCUCUGUGACAAACCUCCUCGCCGACCCAAGAAGCGACCAAGGAACGUUAAACCAUAAGGUCGGAAUUCUUUAUUUAUUUAUUUCAUAUUGUUCUGUUUUCAUCACUACUACUUAGCCAUAUUUUUGUGACCCCUUAUGGUUGAAAACAACAACCAAACUCACAGUUGGAAUGGGGAGAUAAGAAUUAAGAACCAAAAUAAAAAAGAAUACAUUUUUAUUCAUAGAUAAUGAAUUUUUAGUUACAAUUUUUAUCAACAACAAGAAGAAUAAUGAAUGAAUGAAUGAAAGAAAAAAAAAAGUAAAGGGGUAGAUAAAAUUAUUAAGAAAUAAAUAAAGGAAUGGAUUUUUGUUAUUGUAAAAUGAUGAUAUAUGAUCAUGUAAGGUAAUUUUCUAAGCACUAUAGGUGGAUAGUGUGCAAGGCUUCAGAAUCCAAAAUACAUCCAAAGUCUUUAGCUUCUUUUGGAUCAACAAUAGAAGAAGCUCUUUUGUUUUUCUCUAAGGACUCUUCCUUUGCUACUAAUAAUUGCUUAUUCUACUCUUGAAGGAUUCCUCUCUCCUAUGAGUUUAUGAAACAGAUAAUAAAGAAUAGUCUUGGAUAAAGGAGUGUUCUCUGUCUCAUCAUUUCUUCUGCACAAAAAAUAGUUAUGAAACUUUACUCUAAAGCCUUUUAUUUUCAGUAGUACACAUUUGAACUAAUCUAUACUACAUUACAGUCUAGAGUUCCACAAUCACAAUCUUACCAAUAUAUACAAACAUCCUUAUCAUAAUUUUACAUAAAUAUAUAUAAAGAUUCUGUUUUGAGUGUAUACUUAGGAAAAUUUUUUAUUUGGUGUGAACAAAAGUUAAUAUCUUUGUUGUUAUGCUCAAUUGCCCAAUUUGAGAUACUCAGCCAAA